rnacentral:lncRNA from 1 species
AGAGAGGCAGAGGAAGAUGGUGAGCGGCGGGGGAAAAAGGAGAAGGAAAAUGAAAGCCACCGGGGGCGCGCUGUCGAUUCUGGUUUCUUUUGGCCAAGGGGCUGUGAGCGGCUGCUGGGUGAGGGGGAGAUGGCCGGCUGUCAAGAGGGAGACGAGGACGAUGGAGCUGGAACUGCGGGGGGAAAUGUGGGGGUCUGAUAUGGCCGGGGGGGGGGGGGGCGGCGGCUGCUGCCAAAAAAAAUGGAGAAGAAAGUGAUGGUGUUAGGGUUUAUUUUUGGUUUAGGGUUUUUUGUAUUUUUCUGAUGUUGUCAAAAUUGCCCCCCCUCCCUUUUAUUUGAGUUGUGGACCAGUAUUUAUAGGUAAAAUGUUGCAUGGAUCUCAAAAUUGGUCCCUCAACUUUCUUUCUUUUUUGUAAAUUUGAUUUUUCUUAAUUUUUUUGUAUUUUUUUGAAAACGAGCAAUAUCAACGUCGACUCAAUGAAGAAAAUCAAUGAUUUAAAAAUACAACGCGUUAAAAGUUGAACGCGUUCCAAAUGUCUUUGAAAAUUUAAAUUCUUUUGAGACGAUGCUAAAAAUGCUAAAAACGAUGCAAAUGUAUUAAAAACGUAUUUUUUUGGGUUUUCAAUGCUUUUCACUAUUUUUGGAUUUUUUUUGAAAAUUUAUUAAAACAUGUGUCAAAAAUUGGGUAGCAACAGAUGCCCCCUCUUUACAAUGCUUACGAAGCAAAACUCCUCAAUGUUUUGCAUAGUAAGCUUUUGUAAAGAAAAACUCUAAAUGUUUCUUUCUUUUUUCUUUCUUUUUCUUUUCCUUCUUUCUCUCUUCUUCUUUCUUUCUCUCUUUUUCAUUUUUCUUUCCCUCUUUUUUUUCUGUGAGAUCCCAUCAGGCGAUCUCCUUGAACCAAAACCAAAAUCUGCGUGGUUGGGCUAACCUGAGAUCGCGUCCGACGAUCCCCUUUAACCAGAACCAAUAUCCUGUGUGGUUGGGCUAACCUGAGAUCCCGUCCGGUGAUCCCCUUUAACCAGAACCAAUAUCUUGUGUGUGGUUGGGCUAACCUGAGAUCCCGUCCGGCGAUCCCCUUUAACCAGAACCAAUAUCCUGUAUGGUUGGGCUAACCUGAGAUCCCGUCCGGCGAUCCCCUUUAACCAGAACCAAUAUCGUGUGUGUGGUUGGGCUAACCUGAGAUCCCGUCCGGCGAUCCCCUUUAACCAGAACCAACAUGAGAUCCCAUCUGGCGACCUCAUUAAACCAAAACUAAAAAAAUGUGUGUAGCUCGGUCAACCUGAAAUCCCAUCUGGCGAUUCCCUUUAACCAAAGCUACAUGAGAUCCCAUCUGGCGACCUCAUUAAACCAAAACUAAAAAAAUGUGUGUAGCUCGGUCAACCUGAAAUCCCAUCUGGCGAUUCCCUUUAACCAAAGCUACAUGAGAUCCCAUCUGGCGACCUCAUUAAACCAAAACAAAGAAUGUGGAACAAAUGGUCUCAUUGUAAUGGGUGACGAACCCAAGAAAAAUGAUGGUCUCAUUGUAUGGGUGACGAACCCAAGAAAAAUGAUGGUCUCAUUGUAUGGGUGACCUACCCAAGAAAAAUAAUGUGGAAAACGGUCUCAUUAUGAUGGGUGACCUACCCAAAUGGAAAGAAUGUGAAGUGCGGUCUCAUUAUAAUAGGUGACCUACCCAGGUGGAAGAUAGAAAAAAUGUGAAGUGGUCUCAUUGUUAUGGGUGACCUACCAGGUGGAAGAUAAAAAAAAAAUGUGAAGUGGUCUCAUUGUUAUGGGUGACCUACCCAGGUGGAGGAUAGAAAAAAUAUGAAGCGGUCUCAUUGUAAUGGGUGACCUACCCAGAAAAAUGAUGGUCUCAUUGUAUGGGUGACUAACCCAAAGAUAGAAUGUGACUUACCUGGCAAAAAAGACUUGGCAGGAGCAGUCCUGACAGGACAAGGCUGAGAAACUUGGCACCUUCUGGUUGCAGGUUGACUUGAAGACUCCUUGAUGACGGGGUUAAUCUCCUCUUUUCUUUGAGAUUCUCCUAUUGGCAGGGUUCAUCUCAUUCUCUUCUCGUUCUAGGAUCUAAACCGAUUCUGUCAUCAUCAGCUCAAUGAUUCUUUCUUUGUCCACAAUCUUGCUGGACUUCAUUGAGGAUCUUUCUGUAACAAAUCACAAAUAUGUGCAAUGCUUUGAGGUUAGAUGACAUGCAUGUAUCCUUACCUGAUGUGAAAUAUAGGUCCCCCCCUUUGAUGAUCCAUCGUCAUAGGGUGCCUUUGUUUGCUAACCAAAGCUUUAUUUGUUCUUUCGAUGCAUUGGCUCAUGCAUGUGCUAGCCAUCCACUCAGCUGUAAGUGCAGUGCCCAUCCUGGGCUGUCCACGACGAUUACUGCUCUCGCUGUUUAUCAAGCUUGACUCUGCCCCCAAGUGUGGUGUUGCUAGAUUCAUCGUGAAGGAUUUUCUCUCCUGGAUUCUUCUAAGAAUUAUCCUCUGAUUGGUUGUGUGCAUCAUGCCAACACCCAUCAUGAUUGUCCAUCAGUCAUAAACUUGCCUCAAGCUGAAACAAUACUCUUCAAGUAAUGUUAUCACCAGUCUUCAUGGAAAUUAUCCAGUCGUCCAGACAUGCAUCUCAUAGCUUGCAGUGAAAGACUCAUCGUUGUAUGCUCAAUGUUCUUUCUCAAGGAUUUCUCUCAGCUUGUCAAAUCAGAUAGUGGAAAGAAAUGUCUUGACAUCAUCAAUGAUGUUCAUGUUAUCACCCAUAUUCAUGCGAUGAAGUGCGCCUUCGAGCUUCAAAACAAGAUGGUCCCACAGUCAGUCUUGGUGAGUGCAUCCUUCCAAUAUUCACAACUAUGCGAUAACAUCGUUCAAAAGUCAUAGCCAUGUUGGAGAUGAUAAUAUGACAUUAUCCUUCAAGUACAACAUUGUUCCGCAAUCAAUCUUGGUGGUGUGCAUCUUUUCAUAUUCGUUCGAAUGCAACUGUAUGCCCACAUCGGUCGAUAGCCAUGUUUCAAAAGAUGACUAUAUAAAGAUUUCCUUCAAGUGUAUCUUUGCUUUCCCGAUUGUUGACGGGGUUUACUAGAUCAUGGACUAUCUUUGAACAACAUUGCCCCCAAUAUGAUCUGAAUGUGCUCGUUCAUUGAUUAUCUUUCUUUGAACACCAUUGUCUUCAGUGCAUUGAUUCAUCAUUUGAUCAUCUUUCAUUGCCCCCAGUUGAUCUGAAUACUGUUUGUUUUCCUACCCAUGAUCCACUGUAUUGCCUCCAGGUGUCUCAAUUUUUCAAGGAGUAUUGAGAAGAGUUGAUGUCAUUUCAUGUCAAGGAUUUUGCAAAUUCGGUCGAUGUUCUUGUUGUUUAACAAUCUUUCUUGUUCUAGAAUCAACUCUCAUAUUUCAAAGAUCAUGUCAAUUCAAGUCUAAUUGUUGAAAUGAAAUCAAAGAGAUAUCAGUUUUGGAAAAGAUCUUUUGAAAAUCAAGCUUUUUGGUCAAAGACCCAACACACACUAUUCAAUAUAGUCCUUUGAUUGUCUUGUAUUUUGAAAACAGAAAUGACCCAUUGUAAGUUUAAAAUGACUUUUUUCAUGGUUCUUUAUGUCAGUUUUAAUCUUUGAUCUUGGGUAUAUCUUUUCACGGUCUGCAAUGAGGUGACCUUCUGUGAAUUUCAAGGAAAACAAAAGGCUCAAGUCAAAACUUGAGGAUUCAUCAAGAAAGAUUGUUUUCUUUUUUAGCACCAAUUUUAUCAGCAUGCAUAAUAACCAGUAGCUUAAUCCAUGAAGCUAUGACUCUUAUGGAAAACUCUUCAAGUUUUGAGAUCGCCAUUUAUCGGUUCAAAUUGCUUACUUGAUUAAAAAGGGCUUUUUACAGCACGUGAUGCAGGCUAUGGUUCAUGGCUUAUGAAAGAAAGGAAAAUUCAUGCUCAAAAGGUGUUUAAGGGUUUCAAAGACCUAGGAUCAAUAUCAACUAUUCAUCAACUCUCUUUCUCUUGUGGUCAUUGUAGAGAAAGUGACAUAUGACCUUGUUAAUCUCAAAGAUCAGAAUUCUCUUAGCAUAAGUCAUAAUGCAAAUCCAACUUUCUCUGAUGAAUAAUGAAUCUAAAAAUUUUGAAGACACUAAAGGCUUUAUCCUUGACACACCAAAAGACAUGAAACUUGAUUUUUUUUUUUUUGGUGUUGACUUUUGGCAUUUGUUGUGUCUUUCUUCCAUUGAAACCUCUUUUGCCCCUCUUAGAAUUGAUAGGCAUCCUCCUUCCAUUCCAACUCUUUCUUUUUUUCUUUUUUUUCUUUUUUUACAUAGCCUUCCUCGAAGAUUUCUUGGAGGCCCUCAAUCUAUGGCUUUUCUUGUUCUCCCUUUCUCAAUCAUUGGGCUUUUAUUCUAAGCCUUUCUUUUAUCAUUGAUUCUAUCAGUGUCUUCAUCCUUCCUAAUAACAUAUCUCUCAUUGCCCCCAGCGUGGGGUGUGAUCCUAGUCAGGUUUUCUUUUUGAAAGAAAAUAUUUUACCAGGCUCAAAAUGGGACUGCAAGGGAUAAUAUUUCAAGAAAUGUGAAAGGAUAACAAAGAUGGCCUUUUCUCGUUUCAAGCAAGGUCGGUUAGAACCGAUAAAUUUUGACCUCAUCCAGUGUAAUGAUUUGGACUUGUAAGAGUCAUGAUUCACGAGUCCAUAACUACUGAAUCCACUACAUGUCAUUAUGCAUACUGCUAAAAAUUUAGCUACAUUGUGGGGUUCAGUUUCAGGAGGUAUGAGUUCAAAAUUGUUUGGUCACCUCAUGUCAUUUUUAAGCAUCGAGUCAUUUAAUCAAAAUACUUUUAAUCUUCAAGAUUGAUUAAUCUUAAUCGCAUGUUGGAGCUUGAUCAAAAUAUUUUGUAAAAAAAUAACCUUUGAAAGAAACAUCUCUUGAUUUCAAAACAACAGGAAGACAAAGGAAAGACAUGCUUCGUUCAAGGAUGAGAUGUGAUCACAAAACAAAAAAUGCGACAUUGCACAACAAUAUGAUUGACAAUUCAUUGCCAUUCUUGAAUCAUCUUUUCUGGCAAUAUCUGUGUUUUGCCUAGCAAUUCCGAUCACUCGUCAUUCUGAGGAUGUUCUGGUGACAAAAUGAUCAAUGACAUCAUCUUUCACAAACUGAGCUCGAUUCUUGAAACUCUUGCAUUUGUUCAACUGAAAUGGCCGAGGACCCCACCAUGACAUCACAUCUCUUGUCUAGAUUAUACCACCUAGAAAACAGUGGUUGCAUGGGAUUUAACAGAGUCAGGCAAAAAGUCUGGAAUCUGACAGAUGCUAGUAGUCCAACUUGGGUGGCAGAAAGAUGUCAAUCUUGGCAAAGACACUUGAGUAGCUGGUGCUACAGUGAGACUUGACUAAACCAAGUAACUAUGGUUUCUCAUCUUCAGAGUCAUCUCCUGAUUCAUCUCUCAUCAUUGUUCUGGAAUUCUUGACAGAACCUUCAAUCCUUCUCAUCUUCCUAGCUAGCUUAAUUCUUUCGAUGAUCUUCACAACAUCAUGUCAUUCUUCCAAUGUUGUUGUGGUCGUUUGUGGAUUGUUGGAAACCUUCCAGUAGCUAGGUAAUCUUGGCAGCACCCGGAGACUUGCAGCAUUGCCACUGCCGACGUGUGGAAUCACACAUUGUCAAAACUGGAAGAGAACUUGAUGAAUCUAAAACUCCUUUGUCUCCUCUUUGAUUCCUCACUGAUGGUGCAGCAAACAGACACCUGUAGAGGGAGCUCUGCUCUGUUGAAGUUUCAAUCUUCUUUCUAUUUUUCAGCCGAGGUUUGUCUCUUUUCCCUUCUUUUGCAUUUUCAAGCUAACACCGAUGAGAGAAAAUUAUAGAUGAUCAGAAACUACUGCAUCCCUUCUUGGAUUCUCCACUUGCAGAUCUACAAACAGGUUUCUGCAGAGAGAGCUCUGCCACGGUGAAGUUCUAUAUUUGCUCCUGUUUUCUAGCUCAAGUCUGGCUUUUCUGCCUACUACAGUGUUUCGAUGCUGAAGCUGGUGGGGUAAAUUUUCACAUUGUAUAGAACUACUACAUCCCCUCUUGAAUUCCCCACUUGCAGAGCCAUAAACAGGUUUUUGUAGAGAGAGCUCUGCCACGUCAAAGUUCGACGACUGCUCAUGUUUUCAGACUAGGUCUGACUCUUCGGCCUACUCCAGUGUUUCAGUGCUGAAACUGAUGAGCCAAAGUUUUGUAGCAUAUGAAAGUACUGCAUCCCCUCUUGCAUUCCCCACUUGCAGAGCCACAAACAGAUUUUUGUAGAGAGAGCUCUGCUGCGUUGAAGUUUAAUGACGGCUCAUGUUUUCAGACCAAGUGUGACACUUCUGCCUACUCCAGUGUUUCGGUUCUGAAAUUGAUGGGGCAAAUUUUUUUUAUAGCAUAUGAAAAUACUACAUUCCCUCUUGCAUUCCCCACUUGCAGAGCCACAAACGAAUCUCUACAGAGAGAGCUCUGCAAUGUAGAAGUUCAGUGUCUAAUCAUGGUUUUUUUCAGUUUUUUUUUUUUUUUUUUUUUUCGGGGUUUUUUUUUUCUUGGUUUUUUUUUUUUUUUUUACAUCUUGUGCCGCUGAACUGGAAUUGAGCUAACAGUUUGGGUAACGUCAAAGAAGGCUAACACACCAUGCACAGAAGGCUAGCAGUUAUUUGGUGCUAUUGAAAGAUGUGGAGGCGAUGAACAAUUAACAGGGCAGCUGACCAAGAACAAAAGUUGUCAUUAGUUGAUGACUGAAGCCAUUGUUAUUGUUCAUGACUGAAAAUGAGAGGUGUAGCUUCAAUGGGACGUGGACGAGCAGUGUUCUCACAGAAGACUGUGCAGACAUUCCCUUCCCAUUUGAUGCUCUACACUUGUUCAGGCAGAUCUGAGCCUAGCUACUUCAUCUUUAAUGCUCUCAACUUUCCUUUGAUAAUGAGCUUCUCUCUGACAUCUUUCUUCAUUUCCAUUAUCUUGUUUUUUAAUCACGUGGAGCACAGCUUGUGUGGGGGAACCUAUCUUUUAACCCGGUACAUGCAUGAUAAAUGUAUGAACAUGUAAACUAUAUGAAGAACUCGCCCUUCGAGGGGUGACAAUAUGGUCGUAACUCUCGUAUGAUGAAACAAAAAUCUUGAUUCUUGCCCAAACUCUACAAUGAAAAUUUUCUGAGUGACGGCCAUUGGGUCACCCACAAGUCUUGAGUUCAAGAUGCUUCAAGAAGGGUUUGCCCUGAUGCAAAUAAAAAUAGCACAUACAACCUAAGGACAGGUUCUAUUCACUAUGUGAACAUGGGUAGGUUCUCUACCUGGUCUCAAAAGGGUCUCAUAUCUGCCCAGUGACGUUCUUCGUAAAGACAGUAUGGGGGCGUUGCAAGGAAUAGUUAAGGUACGUCUACCCACCAUUACCAAGCAGGCACUCAGAUAUGAGUUCGGUUUUUCACGCAUCUGAACCCUGACCAAUAGUCAUAGGGCAGAUCGCUAAUUCACCACAUAACUUAGAAGCUUGUGUGUGCUUUAAAAAAUAAAUACAGGUGAUGCAUGAAACAAUUCUAAAAAUACAUGGAUAAAACAAAAAUAAAACAAGACAAAAAUGCAAAAACUUAAACACAUCAAAUACACAAAGCUUAGUCCAAUAUUGUCAGAAACAGUACCUUCCCCAGUGGAGUCGCCAUUCUGUCGCACGUCAGAAAAAUCCGCGCGGCAUCGGCUGGCGAUUUUUCAUUUGUUGUUUGCUUGCUUUGAUUUGUUGGUUGGAGUCGCCACCUAGUAAUUAAUUGCGGGCUACUAGGAAACCGGAUGUACUGGUCUUAUCAGAGAUUCGCGGGUAAGGGACUGGUUGUGGUUAGGGAAGGUAUUAGCACUCCUAACGCACCCUACCUGAGGUAAGCUGCUUCGUGACUUUGAUGCGUUAAAAAAAUUUUAAUAAUUGUCUUUUCAUCGGAUAUUAGAAAUACAACUUACGUAUAAGUUAAUAAUUCUUGACCGUGAUCCAAUCAAAAUAUUAAAUUCUUCUUUAAUCUUUACAAUUUUAUCUUAAAUAAAAAUAAAACAUCCAUAAAACAAAUACAAACACACCUAUACACUUUCACUAUAUUUUCUUUCUCUUUUCCUUUCCUUUUCUUUUUUCUUUUUUACAUACACAAUUUUUACAUGUAAAACAAAUAACAAAAAUUCAAAAUAAAUCAAAUACAAUAAUAUCUAAAUAUACACAUAAUCUGAAAGUUACAACAAAAAACACAAAGAAAUCCUCGGGAACAGUGUUGCACAGCCUUGGUGUCGUCUGAACAGUAGUGGCGCGUUGCUCCACGCGCCUCCGCCACUGGCGGCGCGUGGGUUCACGCGCCGCCGCCGAUGAAGACCGAAAACCAGUGGAUCGGGAACGUCUUCUUCUUCCCUGUCUUCCUCCGCCGGCGGUGAGGGUCACCGUCACCUGCAACAACAAGAAAAAACGCACAAAAAAGCAGUCGGUUUUAAUUCUUUUGUUUUGCAGAUCUGCUUCUCUUCGCAUCUCGAUUUUCUUUUCGUUUCCCCUUGUUUCUCUGUUUCAAGCGGCCGGCGGUGUGACCAUAGGGCUGCUAGCCUUUGGGUUUUGUCCGGUUUGUAGCUGUCGGUGGCCGGUGAACCUGUGGACGGCGCUGUGCAGGAGGAACUGGAGGAAGACGGCGGACAGAUCCAAGUCUGUGAGUGCCGCUGUGUUCGGGCUGGUCUGGAGGUUGUGAACGGGACUCCUGCUGCUGCUGCUGUGUGGCUUGAUGGAGGGAAAUCGGAGAGCUUGAGAGAGAGGGGCUCUCGGGUGAAGAAGGAGAUGGGAUGUGAUGUGGUUGUGGCUGUUGUGUUUUGUGUGAUGUGAGGCUGUGAGCGGCGGCUGGCUGAGAGAGGGAAGAAUGGUGGUUGGCUGGAACAGAGGGCGCGGCCGAGAGGGAGAGAGGCAGAGGAAGAUGGUGAGCGGCGGGGGAAAAAGGAGAAGGAAAAUGAAAGCCACCGGGGGCGCGCUGUCGAUUCUGGUUUCUUUUGGCCAAGGGGCUGUGAGCGGCUGCUGGGUGAGGGGGAGAUGGCCGGCUGUCAAGAGGGAGACGAGGACGAUGGAGCUGGAACUGCGGGGGGAAAUGUGGGGGUCUGAUAUGGCGGGGGGGGGGCGGCGGCUGCUGCCAAAAAAAAUGGAGAAGAAAGUGAUGGUGUUAGGGUUUAUUUUUGGUUUAGGGUUUUUUGUAUUUUUCUGAUGUUGUCAAAAUUGCCCCCCCUCCCUUUUGUUUGAGUUGUGGACCAGUAUUUAUAGGUAAAAUGUUGCAUGGAUCUCAAAAUUGGUCCCUCAACUUUCUUUCUUUUUUGUAAAUU